GACAGAGGGGGCAAGCGUUGCUCGGAAUUACUGGGCGUAAAGGGCGCGUAGGCGGGAUGGCAAGUCGGUCGUGAAAUCCCUCGGCUCAACUGAGGAGCGUCGAUCGAAACUGCCGUUCUUGAGGGUUGCAGAGGAGACUGGAAUUCCCGGUGUAGCGGUGAAAUGUGUAGAGAUCGGGAGGAACACCGGUGGCGAAGGCGGGUCUCUGGGCAACUCCUGACACUGAGGCACGAAGGCCAGGGGAGCAAACGGG
rnacentral:rRNA from 1 species